rnacentral:rRNA from 1 species
GGGUUGUGAGGUUAAGCGACUAAGCGUACACGGUGGAUGCCCUGGCAGUCAGAGGCGAUGAAGGACGUGCUAAUCUGCGAAAAGCGUCGGUAAGGUGAUAUGAACCGUUAUAACCGGCGAUGUCCGAAUGGGGAAACCCAGUGCAAUUCGUUGCACUAUCGUUAACUGAAUACAUAGGUUAACGAGGCGAACCGGGGGAACUGAAACAUCUAAGUACCCCGAGGAAAAGAAAUCAACCGAGAUUCCCCCAGUAGCGGCGAGCGAACGGGGAGCAGCCCAGAGUCUGAAUCAGCUUGUGUGUUAGUGGAACGGUCUGGAAAGUCCGACGGUACAGGGUGAUAGUCCCGUACACCAAAAUGCACAGGUUGUGAACUCGAAGAGUAGGGCGGGACACGUGGUAUCCUGUCUGAAUAUGGGGGGACCAUCCUCCAAGGCUAAAUACUCCUGACUGACCGAUAGUGAACCAGUACCGUGAGGGAAAGGCGAAAAGAACCCCGGCGAGGGGAGUGAAAAAGAACCUGAAACCGUGUACGUACAAGCAGUGGGAGCACCUUCGGGUGUGACUGCGUACCUUUUGUAUAAUGGGUCAGCGACUUAUAUUCUGUAGCAAGGUUAACCGUAUAGGGGAGCCGCAGGGAAACCGAGUCUUAACUGGGCGUUAAGUUGCAGGGUAUAGACCCGAAACCCGGUGAUCUAGCCAUGGGCAGGUUGAAGGUUGGGUAACACUAACUGGAGGACCGAACCGACUAAUGUUGAAAAAUUAGCGGAUGACUUGUGGCUGGGGGUGAAAGGCCAAUCAAACCGGGAGAUAGCUGGUUCUCCCCGAAAGCUAUUUAGGUAGCGCCUCGUGAAUUCAUCUUCGGGGGUAGAGCACUGUUUCGGCUAGGGGGUCAUCCCGACUUACCAACCCGAUGCAAACUACGAAUACCGAAGAAUGUUAUCACGGGAGACACACGGCGGGUGCUAACGUCCGUCGUGAAGAGGGAAACAACCCAGACCGCCAGCUAAGGUCCCAAAGUCAUGGUUAAGUGGGAAACGAUGUGGGAAGGCACAGACAGCCAGGAUGUUGGCUUAGAAGCAGCCAUCAUUUAAAGAAAGCGUAAUAGCUCACUGGUCGAGUCGGCCUGCGCGGAAGAUGUAACGGGGCUAAACCAUGCACCGAAGCUGCGGCAGCGACACUAUGUGUUGUUGGGUAGGGGAGCGUUCUGUAAGCCUGCGAAGGUGUGCUGUGAGGCAUGCUGGAGGUAUCAGAAGUGCGAAUGCUGACAUAAGUAACGAUAAAGCGGGUGAAAAGCCCGCUCGCCGGAAGACCAAGGGUUCCUGUCCAACGUUAAUCGGGGCAGGGUGAGUCGACCCCUAAGGCGAGGCCGAAAGGCGUAGUCGAUGGGAAACAGGUUAAUAUUCCUGUACUUGGUGUUACUGCGAAGGGGGGACGGAGAAGGCUAUGUUAGCCGGGCGACGGUUGUCCCGGUUUAAGCAUGUAGGCUGGUUGUCCAGGCAAAUCCGGAUAAUCAAGGCUGAGGUGUGAUGACGAGGCACUACGGUGCUGAAGUAACAAAUGCCCUGCUUCCAGGAAAAGCCUCUAAGCAUCAGGUAACAUCAAAUCGUACCCCAAACCGACACAGGUGGUCAGGUAGAGAAUACCAAGGCGCUUGAGAGAACUCGGGUGAAGGAACUAGGCAAAAUGGUGCCGUAACUUCGGGAGAAGGCACGCUGGUGUGUAGGUGAAGCCCCUGCGGGUGGAGCUGAGACCAGUCGAAGAUACCAGCUGGCUGCAACUGUUUAUUAAAAACACAGCACUGUGCAAACACGAAAGUGGACGUAUACGGUGUGACGCCUGCCCGGUGCCGGAAGGUUAAUUGAUGGGGUUAUCCGUAAGGAGAAGCUCUUGAUCGAAGCCCCGGUAAACGGCGGCCGUAACUAUAACGGUCCUAAGGUAGCGAAAUUCCUUGUCGGGUAAGUUCCGACCUGCACGAAUGGCGUAAUGAUGGCCAGGCUGUCUCCACCCGAGACUCAGUGAAAUUGAACUCGCUGUGAAGAUGCAGUGUACCCGCGGCAAGACGGAAAGACCCCGUGAACCUUUACUAUAGCUUGACACUGAACAUUGAGCCUUGAUGUGUAGGAUAGGUGGGAGGCUUUGAAGCGUGGACGCCAGUCUGCGUGGAGCCAACCUUGAAAUACCACCCUUUAAUGUUUGAUGUUCUAACGUUGGCCCCUGACCGGGGUUGCGGACAGUGUCUGGUGGGUAGUUUGACUGGGGCGGUCUCCUCCCAAAGCGUAACGGAGGAGCACGAAGGUUAGCUAAUCCUGGUCGGACAUCAGGAGGUUAGUGCAAUGGCAUAAGCUAGCUUGACUGCGAGCGUGACGGCGCGAGCAGGUGCGAAAGCAGGUCAUAGUGAUCCGGUGGUUCUGAAUGGAAGGGCCAUCGCUCAACGGAUAAAAGGUACUCCGGGGAUAACAGGCUGAUACCGCCCAAGAGUUCAUAUCGACGGCGGUGUUUGGCACCUCGAUGUCGGCUCAUCACAUCCUGGGGCUGAAGUAGGUCCCAAGGGUAUGGCUGUUCGCCAUUUAAAGUGGUACGCGAGCUGGGUUUAGAACGUCGUGAGACAGUUCGGUCCCUAUCUGCCGUGGGCGCUGGAGAAUUGAGGGGGGCUGCUCCUAGUACGAGAGGACCGGAGUGGACGCAUCACUGGUGUUCGGGUUGUCAUGCCAAUGGCACUGCCCGGUAGCUAAAUGCGGAAGAGAUAAGUGCUGAAAGCAUCUAAGCACGAAACUUGCCCCGAGAUGAGUUCUCCCUGAGACUUUAAGUCUCCUGAAGGAACGUUAAAGACGAUGACGUUGAUAGGCCGGGUGUGUAAGCGCAGCGAUGCGUUGAGCUAACCGGUACUAAUGAACCGUGAGGCUUAACCUUACAACGCCGAAG